rnacentral:lncRNA from 1 species
UCAAAUUAGUCCAUUCAUUAAUCUUUUUCCAGACCGAUAUCAACAACAUUGCUCAGUAGAAACUAGAAAAGUAGCCUGUUCGGAGCAGCCGUUCCGUGAAGUGACAAUAGCCAGAACCCAUGGUGCACAGGAGAGAAGUGACUCAGAUACUUCUGUGGCACAGUCGGUGGCACGACAUAACCAGUGAGUUUUGGAAGUUUUGUGAGCCUGAAC